rnacentral:lncRNA from 1 species
GAAAACCUCACUUUCUGUUUCCUAAAGAGCCUCCCAUUGCCCCAGAAUUUAACCCCGCAGGAGCUUAGGGACAUCCCCGCGCCGAAAAUCCCUGGGACUGCCACCGCGCAGACCGGCGUCCCAGCCGCCUCCCGGACGGGCGCCCAGAGGCUGGCUCUGGGCCAUCGUUUCUCCCGGGCCCGCCUGAGGUUCCGGGCCGAGCCCGGUCUUAGCCGUUCUUCCGGCUGCGGGGACAGGCCUGGAGGCCUGGGCCCGGCGCCGCCUCGGGCAGCGGUGCUCCGGGUGGGCCGGGGACGUGGCCCCGGCGGGAGCGCGCGAACGAGGCCGCGCCUUCCCCGUCGCAGGGUGCAGGUGGAGGUGCUCCGUGGGUCGCUCGACCCGAGGCCGAAUGCGGGCGGGACCCCCAGCUAUUCUGGGAAAGGUCUAGGUUCGGGCGCCCCUCCUGGCUCCCCGGUCACUGUGCGCCCCUCCCUCCCCGCCUCGGGUGCAGUCGGUCUUUUUCAGUUUCUUUCCUCGACGCUUCUCGAUUACACCAUCCCUCUGCGGCACGCGCCCGCCGCCAACCCCGCGGGGGGAACUGGAGAGAUCUGCUGGCCCCGGGGGUUUGGGUCGGGCCCCCUCGGGCCGGGGACCGAGGAGGGAGGCCGCCCAGCCACCAGCAGGAGCGGGAGGUGCGCUGGACGUCCGGAGCGGGGAGGGGGCAGCGCGGGCCCUGCGUGCCUCCCCGUCUGCCGGAGCAAAGCUGCUGAAGCUGCAGAAACGCGUUGGCGCCCGUCCACCCGCUGCAAACAAAACCAAACAAAACGCGGCGAAAGGAAAAGCGAAAUGGCGCUGCUGAAAAUGGAGCCUCGGCCUCUAGGACGUCUUUCUUUUCUCCUCCGUCUCUUACUUCGGCAACUCUGUUUCUUGUCCUUUAACGCUCCGCCGCCCCUCGGCUUUUCUCCCCGUAAUCGCUACCCCAUCACCCCUUUGCUUUUCUUCUUAACCAUCUCCUUCCCCCGCUUUUCCUUCUUUUCUUUCCCCUCUCGGUUCCUCCUUCUCCAUUUUGUGUCACAGGCGCUUCUCUUCUCAGUUCCUUUCUGGGCUCGCGCUCCCCCGCCCGUCUCACUUGGUGUUUUCUGCGUGUCGGGGAGCGGGAGUGGUGGGGGUGGUGAGGCUAGGUAUCGAAUUGGUUUGGUGGAGACAGGGUUGGUUUUUUUUUUUUUUUUUUUUUUUUAG